CGGACGGGUGAGUAACACGUGGAUAACCUACCUAUAAGACUGGGAUAACUUCGGGAAACCGGAGCUAAUACCGGAUAAUAUAUUGAACCGCAUGGUUCAAUAGUGAAAGACGGUUUUGCUGUCACUUAUAGAUGGAUCCGCGCCGCAUUAGCUAGUUGGUAAGGUAACGGCUUACCAAGGCAACGAUGCGUAGCCGACCUGAGAGGGUGAUCGGCCACACUGGAACUGAGACACGGUCCAGACUCCUACGGGAGGCAGCAGCU
rnacentral:rRNA from 1 species